rnacentral:snRNA from 1 species
GGUUGUGAAGGCGAUCUGGCUACGACAUCUGUCACCCCAUUGAUUGCCAGGGUUGAUUCGGCUGAUCUGGCUGGCUAGGCGGGUGUCCCCUUCCUCCCUCACUGCUCCCUCCCGAAGCUGCGCGCUCAGUGGAAGAGGAUAACAUCCCAGGUAUAGAAGGAGUGUACCGAGGUCUCCAGUCUUCGGUCCCGGGUAUACAAUAGCUGCGCUUCCCUGCUAGAACCUCCAAACAAGAACCAUUUUUUUCAUCAAUUGCACAGCCCUAUUAGCCAAUUGUUAGUACACAAAUCAUUCAUUUGGUUUAUUCU